UGGGGAAUUUUGGACAAUGGGCGAAAGCCUGAUCCAGCAAUGCCGCGUGUGUGAAGAAGGCCUUCGGGUUGUAAAGCACCUUUGUCCGGAAAGAAAUCCUUGGCUCUAAUACAGUCGGGGGAUGACGGUACCGGAAGAAUAAGCACCGGCUAACUACGUGCCAGCAGCCGCGGUAAUACGUAGGGUGCAAGCGUUAAUCGGAAUUACUGGGCGUAAAGCGUGCGCAGGCGGUUUGCUAAGACCGAUGUGAAAUCCCCGGGCUCAACCUGGGAACUGCAUUGGUGACUGGCAGGCUAGAGUAUGGCAGAGGGGGGUAGAAUUCCACGUGUAGCAGUGAAAUGCGUAGAGAUGUGGAGGAAUACCGAUGGCGAAGGCAGCCCCCUGGGCCAAUACUGACGCUCAUGCACGAAAGCGUGGGGAGCAAACAGGAUUAGAUACCCUGGUAGUCCACGCCCUAAAGCGAUGUCAACUAGUUGUUGGGGAUUCAUUUCCUUAGUAACGUAGCUAACGCGUGAAGUUGACCGCCUGGGGAGUACGGUCGCAAGAUUAAAACUCAAAUGAAUUGACGGGGUC
rnacentral:rRNA from 1 species